CUCUUUCCUCCUCCCUUGCUCGUCCCCUUUCCUUUUCUUCGUCCCCGAGCUUGAGGUCGCCGCACCACCGUCGUCCAUGCGCUCCGAAGCCUCCCCUCGUCACGCCAAGAUGUCCAGGCGCUCCCUCGUCGUCGACUCCUUCGCCUACUCGCAUCGGUUCGAGUAGGCGCGCACCAGGGGCUCGCCAUCGCCGCCAUCUUCGUCCAAGGCCGCCACAUCUCGCCGCCGAGCCCGUUGCAUUCCGGCUGCCCCGCCCCUCCUAACCAUGUCUACAAGAUCCUGGACACCGAGACCGACGCCGCUGCUACCCGCUGCUACCCAGUACGACCACGGUGUUGACGACCCCUCUCUCUUGCCAGAGCAACCAGGUGGAAUAGAAUGGUGGUUGUGGAGAAGACAAAAAGGGAGAAGAUAGUCUCAC
rnacentral:rRNA from 1 species